rnacentral:rRNA from 1 species
UACGGAGGGUGCAAACGUUGCUCGGAAUCAUUGGGCGUAAAGCGCACGUAGGCGGCCUAUUAAGUCGGGUGUGAAAGCCCUCGGCUCAACUGAGGAAGUGCAUUCGAUACUGAUAGGCUUGAAUAUGGAAGAGGGUCGCGGAAUUCCCGGUGUAGAGGUGAAAUUCGUAGAUAUCGGGAGGAACACCAGUGGCGAAGGCGGCGACCUGGGCCAAUAUUGACGCUGAGGUGCGAAAAGCGUGG